rnacentral:rRNA from 1 species
CUCUAUUAGUAAUAAUUAAUAGUAAGAUCUGCUCCAUGAAUAAUAAAUAGCCGCAAUUUGUGCAAAGGUAGCAUAAUCAUUUGUCUUUUAAAUGAAGACUAGAACAAAAGAUUUAACAUUUCAAUAUAUUUUCCUAAUAUAUACAAUUAAAUUUUUCCUAAAUGUAAAAAGACAUUUAUAUUCAAGAAAGACGAUAAGACCCUAUUGAACUUUACUUUAGUUAAACUGGGGCAGUAAAUUAAUUAUUAUUUUAAUUUAAAUUAAUAAACAAAUAUCUAAUAAAAUUAAAUAAUUCAGUUACCAUAGGGAUAACAGCGUAAUAGUAUUUUAAAGAUCUUAUUAAAAAAACAGAUUACGACCUCGAUGUUGAAUUAAUACCCUAAUUAAGGCAAAACUUAAAAAAGGAAGUCUGUUCGACUUUUAAAAAAUUACAUGAUUUGAGUUCAGACCGGCGUAAGCCAGGUCGGUUUCUAUCUUCUAAAUAAUUUUUUACAGUACGAAAGGACCUAAAAAUAUAAUU